CGGACGGGUGAGUAACGCGUGGGUAACCUGCCUUACACAGGGGGAUAACACUUAGAAAUAGGUGCUAAUACCGCAUGAGCGCACAGGACCGCAUGGCGAGUGUGAAAAACUGAGGUGGUGUAAGAUGGACCCGCGUCUGAUUAGCUAGUUGGUGAGGUAACGGCCCACCAAGGCGACGAUCAGUAGCCGGCCUGAGAGGGUGGACGGCCACAUUGGGACUGAGACACGGCCCAAACUCCUACGGAAGGCAGCAG
rnacentral:rRNA from 1 species